AACGAACGCUGGCGGCAUGCCUAACACAUGCAAGUCGAACGAGACCUUCGGGUCUAGUGGCGCACGGGUGCGUAACGCGUGGGAACCUGCCCUUAGGUUCGGAAUAACUCCCCGAAAGGGGUGCUAAUACCGGAUAAUGUCCUCGGACCAAAGAUUUAUCGCCUUUGGAUGGGCCCGCGUUGGAUUAGCUAGUUGGUAGGGUAAAAGCCUACCAAGGCGACGAUCCAUAGCUGGUCUGAGAGGAUGAUCAGCCACACUGGGACUGAGACACGGCCCAGACUCCUACGGGAGGCAGCAGUGGGGAAUAUUGGACAAUGGGCGAAAGCCUGAUCCAGCAAUGCCGCGUGAGUGAUGAAGGCCUUAGGGUUGUAAAGCUCUUUUACCCGGGAUGAUAAUGACAGUACCGGGAGAAUAAGCUCCAGCUAACUCCGUG
rnacentral:rRNA from 1 species